rnacentral:rRNA from 1 species
AGUGAACGCUGGCGGUAGGCCUAACACAUGCAAGUCGAACGGCAGCACAGGAGAGCUUGCUCUCUGGGUGGCGAGUGGCGGACGGGUGAGGAAUACAUCGGAAUCUACUUUUUCGUGGGGGAUAACGUAGGGGAACUUACGCUAAUACCGCAUACGACCUACGGGUGAAAGCAGGGGAUCUUCGGACCUUGCGCGAUUGAAUGAGCCGAUGUCGGAUUAGCUAGUUGGCGGGGUAAAGGCCCACCAAGGCGACGAUCCGUAGCUGGUCUGAGAGGAUGAUCAGCCACACUGGAACUGAGACACGGUCCAGACUCCUACGGGAGGCAGCAGUGGGGAAUAUUGGACAAUGGGCGCAAGCCUGAUCCAGCCAUACCGCGUGGGUGAAGAAGGCCUUCGGGUUGUAAAGCCCUUUUGUUGGGAAAGAAAUCCAGCCGGCUAAUACCUGGUUGGGAUGACGGUACCCAAAGAAUAAGCACCGGCUAACUUCGUGCCAGCCGCCGCAGUAG